CAUGUGGACCAAAAACCAUAAAGGUACUAGAUCCCAUCUGAUCUUCGAAGCUAAGCAGGAUCAGCCCUGGUUAGUAUUCAGAUGGGAAACAGCCACUAAAUAUCAGGUAGGCUACAGAA
rnacentral:rRNA from 1 species